GACGAACGCUGGCGGCGUGCCUAAUACAUGCAAGUCGAGCGCAGGAAGCCAUCUGAACCCUUCGGGGGGACGACGGUGGAAUGAGCGGCGGACGGGUGAGUAACACGUAAAGAACCUGCCCAUAGGUCUGGGAUAACCACGAGAAAUCGGGGCUAAUACCGGAUGUGUCAUCGGACCGCAUGGUCCGCUGAUGAAAGGCGCUCCGGCGUCUCCCAUGGAUGGCUUUGCGGUGCAUUAGCUAGUUGGUGGGGUAACGGCCCACCAAGGCGACGAUGCAUAGCCGACCUGAGAGGGUGAUCGGCCACACUGGGACUGAGACACGGCCCAGACUCCUACGGGAGGCAGCAGUAGGGAAUCUUCCACAAUGGACGAAAGUCUGAUGGAGCAACGCCGCGUGAACGAUGAAGGCUUUCGGGUCGUAAAGUUCUGUUGUAAGGGAAGAACAAGUGCCGCAGGCAAUGGCGGCACCUUGACGGUACCUUGCGAGAAAGCCACGGCUAACUACGUGCCAGCCGCCGCGGUAA
rnacentral:rRNA from 1 species